UACAAAAUGGCCGCGCCCGUACUGCAAUGUGUAUCACAAGUCGGUGAAAUCUGACAAGCUGGUCACGUACAAGAAAAUGUGGUAUAUGAUUAAACGGAGAUAAGCAAUGUCAGAUGACGCUUCCACAAGACAGGAAGAAGAGGUGGAAGCGCUUGCAGCCAUUUACGGAGAUGACUGGUGUGUGGUCAGUGAACAAGCCCACAUCUACAGCAUACAAGUCAGAAAUGAGGACCCGAAAUCACACAGAACCAUCAAUGUGGAGAUUACCAUGCCUCCCGGCUAUCCGACAGAGUCACCUCCCUUAUACCAGCUGACGGCCCCUUGGCUUCGCAGAGAGGAAAAACAGACUCUGGAAGAUUCGUUAGCCGAUAUCUAUUGUGAAAACCUUGGGGAAAGCAUGAUCUAUCUUUGGAUUGAACGGAUCCGGGAGGUAGUGCAGGCUCAACUAGACAAUAGUCAAUCAGAUUCUUCACCACAAACUUCACAGUCAGCAUCAGCUGUCAGGGAUGAGGAUGAAAAUGACGGUGAAUUUGACCUCUCUGACCUGGUAAUCACCACAAUUGAACAACCAGACGAUGGAGAAGUCAUGGAGUGCCCUCCCAUUAAUAGUGGAGAACCAAUUGUGGACAGACGCAGUACAUUCCAAGGUCAUCUGGCACCUGUGGUUCAUAAAAAACAGGUUAAGCAGAUACUGGACACACUCUACCAAAACAAGAAGAUAGCCAAUGCUACGCACAAUAUAUACGCCUACAGGAUAUGUCAGGGUGGUACGGUUUACCAGGGCUGUGAGGAUGACGGAGAAACCAACGCUGGCUCCCGCAUGCUUCACCUACUACAGAUCUUGGAUUCUGAUAAUGUGAUGGUAGUGGUUUCAAGGUGGUAUGGAGGGAUACUUCUGGGGCCUGAUCGCUUCAAGCACAUCAACAAUGCUGCAAGGGGACUGCUAGAGGAACAUGGUUACAUCAAGUCAAAGGAAUCAAAGAAAGGACCUAAAAGUGGCGGGAAAAAGAAAAGAUGAUGAAGCUUUAUUUGUAUCAUUAAAACACCAUUAAAUUCUAUGAAUGUGGAGAUGAGGAUCCAUUAAAUUCUAUGAAUGUGGAGAUGAGGAUCCAUUAAAUUCUAUGAAUGUGGAGAUGAGGAUCCAUUAAAUUCUAUGAAUGUGGAGAUGAGGAUCCAUUAAAUUCUAUGAAUGUGGAGAUGAGGAUCCAUUAAAUUCUAUGAAUGUGGAGAUGAGGAUCCAUUAAAUUCUAUGAAUGUGGAGAUGAGGAUCCAUUAAAUUCUAUGAAUGUGGAGAUGAGGAUCCAUUAAAUUCUAUGAAUGUGGAGAUGAGGAUCCAUUAAAUUCUAUGAAUGUGGAGAUGAGGAUCCAUUAAAUUCUAUGAAUGUGGAGAUGAGGAUCCAUUAAAUUCUAUGAAUGUACGGGACAGUAAGUUUGUUUGGAGAUGGGGAUACAGUAAAACCUUUAACUUGUAUGAUACUUUCACUCUUCCAAAGAUUUUUUAUUCAACAUCGGUCAUUGGACUCUAGAAAGGGUAUUUAGCUUGAUGAAAGAUGCUUGACCCAUCGAUCCUAACUGCAUACUGUGAAAGUGUUUUAUUUUAAUGGACUCUUGUUUUGACCGAAUUUUAAUUCCCGAAGGGUAAAGGAUGACAGCUGCUGUCAAUAUAUUUGUUUUUUGCGACAUUCUAAUUUUCAUGACUUUGUGGUAACAAUCUUUCUGGAAAAAAGUACAACCCACAAAAUAAGUAGGAUUUUUUUCUUUUCUUUACUGUAGACUAUGUUACAUGACCACUAGACUCAAGAUCUGGGGAAAUCUUAUUUGGCAAAAUUGACCAUUCCAGCAAAUCCACAAAAAUAUGGGAACCUUGAAAGAAAAGAAAAUACUUUUACUAUAUAUAUAUAUCAAAACUAAUAGAGGUUUCUGAAGACUCUCAUCCUGAAGAGGCCCAAAUAUAAAUACAUGUAUUACGUAAAAUUUAAGUGAUUUACAUCGUAAGAACAGAAAUGGAAAUAAUUAAGGAUUGACCUUCAUUUUGACGGCCUAUACGGUAGUAUGAACGCACAUAUUUUAUUGGGCGUGUUAGCGGACGAAUGUGGCAAAAAAACAUAUAAUUAUGAUAAUAACACUAAUGAGUCCAGCGAAGAGGGUCCUUAGAAUGGAAUCUGUGCUGAAAAAUAUCAUUAAGUAUCAUUAAGUAAAAGGAAGCCGCCAUUGUUUACUUAACCGUCAAAUAGUUUCGAAUGUGCAUUCAUGGAAUAAGACGUUGGCCAGCAUCACUUUGUUGUAUAAUCAGACAUAAUGAGUCCCAAAUACGUUCCAUGUUUAAUUUGUAGAUGUUGAAGGAACUAAACAGUGGCUGUCAUUAAGCAGUUAUCUCGCUGACCCGCGCCAUAUUUGAAAUGGGUAUCAUUCCGCAAAGCGUUUUUUCCUUGCAUAUAUGCUAAUGUUUUCGAAAUCAGAGUUUACUAAGCUGAUAUGUAAAUGUAAAUAAAAUGUGUAUUAGGGUGCUAUAAGGGAGUGUUAAAGUGUAGGAGCAUGUUAUAUUGAAAUGUUCUUCAGGUUCAUUUGCAUAUCAUCAUUCUUAUUUAUGAACAUGUGUAGACUCUUAUCAUGAUCUGAUUCAGAUUCAAAAUCAGAUUCUUUAUUAGCCGAAAGCCAUACGACUCGUAGGCGCAACAAUAAUACAAGUACAUAUAGCAUACAAAUAUACAAGACUAAAACACACACACACACCCUCAAUCGCCCCGC
rnacentral:misc_RNA from 1 species